UCUCUCUCUUUACAUGUGUACAUAAAUGCAAUGAAAAACCUUGUUCACCAUUAGGCAUCUACCAAACUCACUGUGAGUUACUCACACUACAGUUAUCCACUUAUACAACAUUCAAGUUCCUUGUGUCUCAAUACUUUUUUGGAAAUGAAAAGUGGUACCAAAGUAAGAAAAUCUAUUACAAUAGCUGUUCUUCCUGUGGCUUUUCUAUUCUUGCUUUCUUUUGUAGCUUGUACAGGACCAUUGAGGUGGAUUCUUCUAUCAAGCUAUCUCAUCUACUACCUAUCUUUGUCUUUAUGGAUUUUGGCUGCAUUGCAUACUACAUGACAUUCAAUCCAUCUACCAAAUUGAGGGAUUUUCCAUCAUUCACUAUCUCUAUUUUCUUGGUUUUGUUAUCGAGGGAUCAAUCUCUUACUUUUUUUGUUUUCCUUCAACCUCGUUGAAAGAAUCAACAAUCUCGUUGUGUACUGAAGCAUAAAGAGGAUAAUGUGUUUAUAUUCAUUUUCAGCAUGUUAAUUUAAACAAACUAUGUCUUCAAUCUUCUCCAGCUCUUUUGGGUUGGGUUUCAAUGCA